rnacentral:rRNA from 1 species
GACGAACGCUGGCGGCGUGCUUAACACAUGCAAGUCGAACGGAAAGGCCUGCUUUCCCUUGUGGAUUGCGGGUACUCGAGUGGCGAACGGGUGAGUAACACGUGAGUGAUCUGCCCCCAACUUGGGUAUAAGCCUGGGAAACUGGGUCUAAUUCCCGAUAGGACUGCAGGGUGGUGCCUGUGGUGGAAAACGAUUUUCUAGUGGUUGGGGAUGAGCUCGCGGCCUAUCAGCUUGUUGGUGGGGUAAUGGCCUACCAAGGCGGCGACGGGUAGCCGGCCUGAGAGGGUGGACGGCCACAGUGGGACUGAGAUACGGCCCAGAAUCCUACGGGAGGCAGCAGUGGGGAAUAUUGCACAAUGGGCGGAAGCCUGAUGCAGCGACGCCGCGUGGGGGAUGACGGCCUUCGGGUUGUAAACUCCUUUCGACCGCGAGGAAGCCACCUGGUUGGAAGGGUGGUGACGGUAGUGGUAGAAGAAGCACCGGCUAACUACGUG